rnacentral:rRNA from 1 species
AACGAACGCUGGCGGCAGGCUUAACACAUGCAAGUCGAACGGGUGUAGCAAUACAUCAGUGGCAGACGGGUGAGUAACACGUGGGAACCUUCCUAAGGGUACGGAACAACUCAGGGAAACUUGAGCUAAUACCGUAUACGUCCGUAAGGAGAAAGAUUCAUCGCCCCUAGACGGGCCCGCGUCGGAUUAGGUAGUUGGUGGGGUAGCGGCCUACCAAGCCUACGAUCCGUAGCUGAUCUGAGAGGANGAUCAGCCACACUGGGACUGAGACACGGCCCAGACUCCUACGGGAGGCAGCAGUGGGGAAUCUUGCGCAAUGGGCGAAAGCCUGACGCAGCGACGCCGCGUGGGGGAUGAAGGGUUUCGGCUU